rnacentral:rRNA from 1 species
GUUAGGAAUAUUGGACAAUGGGGGGAACCCUGAUCCAGCCAUGCCGCGUGUGUGAAGAAGGCCUUUUGGUUGUAAAGCACUUUAAGCGAGGAGGAGGCUACCGAGAUUAAUACUCUUGGAUAGUGGACGUUACUCGCAGAAUAAGCACCGGCUAACUCUGUGCCAGCAGCCGCGGUAAUACAGAGGGUGCGAGCGUUAAUCGGAUUUACUGGGCGUAAAGCGUGCGUAGGCGGCUUUUUAAGUCGGAUGUGAAAUCCCCGAGCUUAACUUGGGAAUUGCAUUCGAUACUGGGAAGCUAGAGUAUGGGAGAGGAUGGUAGAAUUCCAGGUGUAGCGGUGAAAUGCGUAGAGAUCUGGAGGAAUACCGAUGGCGAAGGCAGCCAUCUGGCCUAAUACUGACGCUGAGGUACGAAAGCAUGGGGAGCAAACAGGAUUAGAAACCCGGGUAGUCC